UCGAUCAACAGAGAGGAGAAAAAGGGGAUUGAACCCUAGUUUAUCAAAAAUCCACAAGAAUCAAGUGAAAUCUUGAGAAAAUCGAAAAUAUAAACAACGAAUUCUAAGCUCCUACAUCUGUUCUUCGAAGUGGCGUAAAGGAAGAGGGCUCAAGUUUUAAGAAGUCGGAAGGCUCACAGGAUCGAGGUAAAUCCUCGACUUAGGCGUAUGGACGGCUUGGAACGUGCACACUUGAUUUACGCCCGCCUCACGCUUCCGUCAUAAAUUAUUUUGAUAUGGGUUAAGUUUUUGGUCAUAUGUAUUUAAGCUUAUGUAGUAUGUCGAUAUCCUUGUAGUUGGGUAAAAACUUAGUAGUUGUAGUCAUGUCGUGUCCAAUGUAAACCUUGUCUGUCUUGGGUUUUGUCAAAGAUGUUAAAUGUUGAAGUUUGUUUAUGUAAAACAGGUUAUUAAUGGUCUUAAAUGAAUAGGUCAUGCCGAAAUUUUCAAAAAUUUUCCUAUUUGUUUUACACAUCAUAUUAAGUAAGGUAU